AACUUGCACUACUGUAAGUCGCUUUGAAUAAAAGCAUCUGCUAAAUGACUAAAU
rfam:Danio rerio chromosome 9 genomic contig CTG875, GRCz11 reference primary assembly.